UUGGAGCAGCAGCGCCAGGUUUGAUGUGGCUGAAGGCGGGGCCAGACUGGGAGGAGCUCCAGCUGACAGCUCAGAAGGGAGAGCACUGCCUUAGUGGUCAGAUUCCCUGGCACGGCUCUUUCUGCACAACAGUACCAGGCCCAUCAUGUUCCUUCAUCCUUUUCAUUGCUUCCACCAACCACAACUCUCCAAAGCAAGUGUACUCUCACAGAUGAAACUAAAGCAAAGCAAGAUGAGAAAAAGGCUCAAAAUUGAAGCCUGAGGCUAUCCCAAUACAGGUAACAGGAUGAGGAAGAGUUGAAGAUGCCCUUGAUGGGUCCAGCAACUGGAUGAUCAUAACAAGAAAUGAGAGACAGAGAAAGUGUUCAGCAUCUGGAGAAUAACUGAAUAAAUCAGACAAAAACUCUUGCUUCUCACAUUAGAUGUUUAACAAAAGCUUAAUUUGAAUGAACUCCCCCACAGACCCGAGCCAUAACAACAAUAAAGAGUUACAAACACAAUAGUUUUUAAAAGGUCAGCUUGGUCAAUAAAAAACAUAAUUUGUUCAAUUUGAAGAUAUCCA